rnacentral:rRNA from 1 species
UAAACUAGGAUUAGAUACCCUAUUAUUUUAGAAUGUUAAGUGCUUGAGUAGUAUUAGUUAUGUUCUUGAAACUUAAAGAAUUUGGCGGUAUCUCAUUCCGUCCAGAGGAAUCUGUCUCGUUAUCGAUAGUCCACGUUGGACCUUACUUAGGUUUGUAUACCGCCGUUUAUUGAUUAUCUUUUUAGGGUUUAUGUAAUUUUCUUUAUUCUUUAUUUUGAUUUAUUUCAGGUCAAGGUGCAGCUUGUUUCUAAGUGAAUGAUGGAUUACAUUGUUAUUUGUUUUUGGAUUGUUUGUUUUAAUUUGGGCAUGAAAUUGGAUUUGGUUGUAAUGAUUUGUAGACUGUUGUUAUGAUAAUUGGUUCUGAGAUAUGCACACAUCGCCCGUCGCUCUCGUAUUAAUGAGAUAAGUCGUAACAUAGUA